GGGGUUGACCGGUUUUGACAGCGGGUUGAGGUGGUAUGUAAGCAUGCAGUGCUCCGCUGGUCGGCACUUUAAUCUCGGCUUUCAAACUUUUAUCUGGCGAGAAUAACUACGCUCUUGCUGCUUAAACCGAAGCACAGUAGGUUAGCUUAAUCUCGGCACAAGGUGCUGAGACAAGACAUCACUCAGAAGCUCUUGCUCCGAAACAUUCUGGUUAAGUGGUGCAGUCAAGUCGGGGAUAGUUGGGUGUGGCCUCGCGCAUCCGAUGAGAUUUUAGAGGAUAAGGCGCAUGUUGGUGGUCUGGGUCUUGCAUGCGCACGAAAACCGAAGGCCAGAAUAAGCAUGUAGAAAGCAUAUUAGUUCCCUGUUUGGACGAGGGUUCGAAUCCCUCCAGCUCCACCC
rnacentral:tmRNA from 2 species